rnacentral:lncRNA from 1 species
AUGUAACUAGGAAUGCAACCUCAGGUGCCCUCAACUUUCUUCUUAUAAUCAAGGAUGAUGAGUUUAUUGCAUAUGAACCCACAAGGCGAGCUUUGCCACUUGGAAAUUUCUGUUAUAUGCUUCACUCGCUGAUGUCUUUUGGACUAGAGGUCUAUUGGCCACAUGGAUGCUUUUGCUCAAUGCCUCAUUCGCAGAUGGUUUUAGAGCCUAAGGUCUAUUUGCUGCCUGAGCACUACUUCUGUCCAUUGAGACACUUGAUG